rnacentral:misc_RNA from 1 species
GCUGGAUCCCCUCCUUUCUAGGGAGCCUCAAGCCGGUCCUCGUGGCCGGCUCGGCAACCAAGUCAACGACGGUCCAGGCGAGCGCGCAUCGCGCGCGGCGCCACUCGAGCUCGAAUCCCGGGUUCUCCCGGUAACUCGUUCGAUCGGGGAGUUCGACGACCGUUCGCCGUCUUCGUCACACACGCUAUUCAGUUUUUGGAGACCGGGACGAAGUCUCGUCCGGCCGGGAGGUCGGCCAGAGAUUCGGACCCCGACCUCGACGCUCGAAGGGGCCAGUUCGACGCCAAUCGGAUCGUCCGAGGGCCUGUAGCUCAGUUGGUUAGAGCGUCCGCCUGAUAAGCGGGAGGUCGGUGGUUCAAAUCCACCCAGGCCCACCACCCCCCUCCGGCCCGAACCCUGCGCUCCCCGCGGAGCGCUUGCUUUCUGGGGCUGUAGCUCAGCUGGGAGAGCGCGGGCUUUGCAAGCCUGAGGUCGUCGGUUCGAUCCCGUCCAGCUCCACCAUCUUGCACCGUCCGGAAGGCCCCCUGGCCUCCGGCGGACCGCUCCUCGAGAGCGGCCGGCUCUACACAGGCCGGAUGCGGUCGAUCCUCAGGAUCGGCGGUCUUUGAUAACCGAAUAGUUUUCCGAGUCUGGAGUGCCGAGGCGUACGAGAGCGUGUCUGCUGGGAGCUCGUCUCCCGGGAGACAUUGCCCGCGUGCGUAUCGAGACAGAGGCUUAUGGUCAAGCUGUUAAGGGCAGACGGUGAAUGCCUUGGCGGCAGGAGGCGAUGAAGGACGUGGUUAGCUGCGAUAAGCGUCGGGGAGCUGCUAAACGAGCUUUGAUCCGGCGAUUUCCGAAUGGGGAAACCCGGAAGC